AUGAUGACUAUUAAUACCCCUGGGGUUAAACCUACACUGCCUUCAGGUGGUAAAACCAGGGCAUCAGGAGGCACAAAGGGAGCACAGGUGAAGAUGCCUGGGGCAAGAACAGGUGAUUGGAAUCUGGCUGUAAUGAGUUAUUUAACAGAGCCUACAGCUGAAUGGGACUUUUUGUUGAUGGGAAGAACAGACUUCUGGGUACAAGUCAAGUAAAUGUCCUUAUGGAAGCCAGUUCUAGGAAGAAGUAUAAAGUAAUGCUGAAGGGUGCUGAUGUUGUGUUAAGUUUCUUGCUGAGGCUAUUGAUGUGCCGGGGAGGCAUGGUAGCAGAGAGUUGCCUGGCCAGAAGGCAGAAGCAGUUGUGCAGUGGGAAUGGUGGCAGCUGCUGCUGGGGUGUAUGAAGAGGAAGGAGUAGUACUCAUCUGAUCUACCUGAUAAAUUGGGUAGUCACCUACAGCUACAGCAGCGUGGCAGUUGUCCUGGAACACUGCUGAGAUGCCACACUCUACAAAAGCUUUCCUGUAGAGCCGCCAUUGGGAGCAACCCAAACCUUUUCCAGAGUGUCACAGUUUAUAAGUCAAUAAAGUGUCUGUGACCUUCCAAGCA